rnacentral:lncRNA from 1 species
UCGUGAAAUCCUCUCCCCUCCUUACAUCCCACUUCCACCGCCUCAGGCACUCACAGAGAAAGAGAGGCGAGAGUGAGAAAGAGAAAGAGUGUGUGCGUGUGUGUGUGUGUGUGUGUGUGUGUGUGUGUGUGUGUGUGUGUGUGUGUGUGUGUGUGUGGGAAAGAGAGCGAGGAUUUCACGAAUGCCUUCAUCAUUUAAACGGCUGUGCUGUCGCUGGAGCGCAGCAUGAAUAAUUCAGUGAGACUGCUCCUUCUUCAAACAGACAAAUAGAACAGGAUUACGCCUCCACAAAGCAAACGAUAAAUGUACAGUUAACAGGAUGAUGAGGAAUCCUGAUCCUCCCGCAAUCUGGGACAAAGCAGGCCGCUAGGAAGAAGUAGGGCAGCAGGGGAAGAUGAGGAGAGCGGAGAGGACAACAGGGGCGGUGGUGGACCAAGAUGUCCGGCUGCCCUGGAGGAUAGAGAUGAAAGAGACGGGCGGAUAGAACUUGGGGUGCAAGGCAGAGAUGAGAGGGAUGCAGAUAACACCUCAUGCAACAUUGAUGAGGAGACCGAAGGCGAUUACAACUUUCGAACCAAGAGGACGCUGAGCUCACACCUGUUUUCUGAAACCUGUUUGGAAAAGUUGUGAUGUUUGCAUUCCUAGUGCUGAAGUGCUUAUUUGGUUCAGUUCUCC